rnacentral:tRNA from 1 species
CGGGGUGUAGCGCAGCCUGGUAGCGCAAUUGCUUUGGGAGCAAUGGGUCGGACGUUCGAAUCGUCUCACCCCGACCA